rnacentral:rRNA from 1 species
UACGUAGGGGGCUAGCGUUGUCCGGAUUUAUUGGGCGUAAAGAGCGUGUAGGCGGCUUGGCAAGUCUGCUGUGAAAACUCGAGGCUCAACCUCGAGAUGUCGGUGGAAACUGCCUGGCUAGAGUCCGGAAGAGGAGAGUGGAAUUCCUGGUGUAGCGGUGAAAUGCGCAGAUAUCAGGAGGAACACCGGUGGCGAAGGCGGAUCUCUGGGCCUUGCCUGACGCUGAGGCGCGAAAGCUAGGGGAGCGAACAGG